UACCAGCUCUCCGAGUGGUGUGGACGUUUAUUGGGCCUAAAGCAUCCGUAGCUGGCUGGGCAAGUCCUCUGUUAAACCCACCGAUUUAAUCGUUGGCGUGCGGGGGAUACUGCUCGGCUAGGGGACGAGAGAGGCAGACGGUAUUCCCGGGGUAGGGGUGAAAUCCUAUAAUCCCGAGAAGACCACCAGUGGCGAAGGCUGUCUGCUAGAACGCGCCCGACGGUGAGGGAUGAAAGCUGGGGGAGCGAACCGGAUUAGAUACCCGGGUAGUCCCAGCUGUAAACGAUGCAAACUAGGUGUUUGGACGGCCACGUGCCGUUCUAGUGCCGCAGGGAAGCUGUUAAGUUUGCCGCCUGGGGAGUACGAUCGCAAGAUUG
rnacentral:rRNA from 1 species